GACGGGCAUUGCAGCGGGGGUGAAGGGAAGCUGCCCUGGAUGGGGGCAGGGCCUCACCUUGGCCAUGAUAUCAGCAUACGCCAUGUACAGGUAAUCCUCGUCCAGUUUGCUGAGUAAGUAAGAGGGGGAGAUGGUCAGGGCCCAGUGGAGACAACCACCAUCCUAUAACCGCUUCCAGUUUCCCUUUGGAGAGCCGCCCCUCCCCAUGCUCAGGCUGUGUGGUUCAGGGAGGUCCACUGUCCACUGCCAGAGAGGGCGUGCGAUCGAGGCUGAGUUCAGUUGCCCUGGCCACAGUAAUAGGGACAAGAUGGUCCUGUGCUUCAUGCGGGUCCACUGGAAUUCAUUCUGGGAGUUUUGCCAGAGCAGUUGAUAGAGGUGCCCCCUUUCCACUGGGGUUGUGAAAAUAGUGUGUUCAACACCUGGAGCCAUCCUGCUGUUGGCUCAUUUGACAACUAUGACCACCCACCCACUUGGGUCUCCUCAAGAAGAAGAAGAAGAAUGGAAGUAGCGGCCAACACCUAUUGAGUGUUUACUCUAGCAAGACACUUUCAUCCAGCAAAGCUUCAACUGAUAUUGCCUAUGAUGUGAGCUCUUCAGAAGAGAUGGCUUGCGAAGUGCUCAGCCAACAAAAUGGGACACAGUGGCCCUGCCUGUCCGGGGAAAGCAGGCCCCAGCUCACUGAAAGGUCGUCGAUCAUGCGGUCUUCAAAACUGUGGUCUUCAGUCAGGAUCCACGCGGCCUUGUAGCUCUCCAGGAACAUGUUACAGGCCCGGUGCCUGCAGGGGAAAGCCCGGGGCGAAAUUGCCCAUCUAGGUCCAGGCCCAAAUUCAGGCCUGACUCGCGGGGCCGGAGGAACACGCUGGCUGCACCAACAGAGUCAAGGUUCAGACUUGGGCUUUUCUUCCAGACCACGCUCUUUCCUAGGCCCUGCCCACAGGUCCCGGGUCGUUAGCCAGGCCCGCCAAGCCCCACCCACGGCCCCGCCCAGAGUCAAGGCGUCUUGAGUCCAGGCCCCACUCUAGACCCCAAAUUCUGACCCUGGCCCCGCCUCUAGGCUCAAGAUUUAAGCACCAGGUCCUGCCCCAGAUCCAAGUUUCCAUUCUAAGCCUCGCGUUAAACUCCAGGCUUCACCCAGGCCCCGCCCAGAGACCCAAGGUUCCUCCUCAGACCCCGCCCCCAGAUCCAAGGCCCGCCCCUUGCCCCGCCCAGAGACCCACG